GAUGAACGCUGGCGGCGUGCCUAAUACAUGCAAGUCGAGCGAACGGACGAGAAGCUUGCUUCUCUGAUGUUAGCGGCGGACGGGUGAGUAACACGUGGAUAACCUACCUAUAAGACUGGGAUAACUUCGGGAAACCGGAGCUAAUACCGGAUGAUAUUUUGAACCGCAUGGUUCAAAAGUGAAAUACGGUCUUGCUGUCACUUAUAGAUGGAUCCGCGCUGCAUUAGCUAGUUGGUAAGGUAACGGCUUACCAAGGCAACGAUGCAUAGCCGACCUGAGAGGGUGAUCGGCCACACUGGAACUGAGACACGGUCCAGACUCCUACGGGAGGCAGCAGUAGGGAAUCUUCCGCAAUGGGCGAAAGCCUGGCGGAGCAACGCCGCGUGAGUGAUGAAGGUCUUCGGAUCGUAAAACUCUGUUAUUAGGGAAGAACAUAUGUGUAAGUAACUGUGCACAUCUUGACGGUACCUAAUCAGAAAGCCACGGCUAACUACGUG
rnacentral:rRNA from 1 species